rnacentral:rRNA from 1 species
AGCGCGUAGCAAUACGAGCGGCGAACGGGUGAGUAACACGUGAGCAAUCUGCCCUGAAGUGGGGCAUAACUCUCCUAACGGAGAGCUAAUUCCGCAUAACGAUGGGGAAGGCAUCUUCCCUUCUCAAAAGAUUUAUCGCUUCAGGAUGAGCUCGCGUCCCAUUAGUUUGUUGGCGGGGUAACGGCCCACCAAGACUUCGAUGGGUAUCCGGCCUGAGAGGGUGUCCGGACACAUUGGGACUGAGAUACGGCCCAGACUCCUACGGGAGGCAGCAGUAGGGAAUUUUGCGCAAUGGGGGAAACCCUGACGCAGCAACGCCAUGUGUGGGAUGAAGCAUUUCGGUGUGUAAACCACUGUCAGCGGGGACUAAACGGCCGUACAGGCCUUUGAAUGUACCCGCAAAGGAAGCCCCGGCUAACUUCGUGCCAGCAGCCGCGGUAAUACGAGGGGGGCUAGUGUUGUUCGGAAUCACUGGGCGUAAAGGGAGCGUAGGCGGGAGCUCAAGUUGGGUGUUUAAUUCCGGGGCCCAACCCCGGGCGUGCACUCAAAACUGGGCUUCUUGAAUAGGGGAGAGGUCGAUGGAAUUGGAGGUGUAGCGGUGGAAUGCGUAGAGAUCUCCAAGAACACCGGUUGCGAAGGCGGUCGACUGGACCCAUAUUGACGCUGAGGCUCGAAAGCGUGGGGAGCAAACAGGAUUAGAUACCCUGGUAGUCCACGCCAUAAACGAUGAAGACUAGGUUUUAGGCCCGUCAACGGUCUAGAGCCGUAGCUAACGCGUUAAGUCUUCCGCCUGGGGAGUACGCCCGCAAGGGUGAAACUCAAAGGAAUUGACGGGGGCCCGCACAAGCGGUGGAGCAUGUGGUUUAAUUCGACGCAACGCGAAGAACCUUACCAAGGCUUG